rnacentral:rRNA from 1 species
UACGGAGGGUGCAAGCGUUGUCCGGAUUUAUUGGGUUUAAAGGGUGCGUAGGCGGCUAAUUAAGUCAGCGGUGAAAUUCCACAGCUCAACUGUGGAACUGCCAUUGAUACUGGUUGGCUUGAGUACAGAUGAGGUAGGCGGAAUUGACAGUGUAGCGGUGAAAUGCUUAGAUAUUGUCAAGAACACCUAUUGCGAAGGCAGCUUACUAAGCUGUAACUGACGCUGAGGCACGAAAAGCGUGGGGGAUCAAAACAGG